CAGUCGCCGCGGUAAUACGAGGGGGGCAAGCGUUGUUCGGAAUUAUUGGGCGUAAAGGGCGCGUAGGCGGUUUGGCAAGUUUGGUGUGAAAUCUUCGGGCUCAACUCGAAGUCUGCAUCGAAAACUGCCGGGCUUGAGUGUGGGAGAGGUGAGUGGAAUUUCCGGUGUAGCGGUGAAAUGCGUAGAUAUCGGAAGGAACACCUGUGGCGAAAGCGGCUCACUGGACCACAACUGACGCUGAGGCGCGAAAGCUAGGGGAGCAAACAGGAUUAGAUACCCAGUAGUCCCUGUCUCUUAUACC
rnacentral:rRNA from 1 species